ACACAAAACGUAUUAAGCUUUUAAAUGAUUUUAAUGUUUUUUUUUUAAGUAAAUAAAAGAAAAGAGUGUGAGAGAAACGGUAACAGAAACCCAGAAAUCAUCAUCUACCUCACGAAAAAAAUGCCCUUCUCCCUCAACCUCACUCGUCAUCUCCCAAUCGCUCAUUCUCUCUCAAUCGCUCUAAAUCUAAACCUCCACCUCUCGUCACCUCUCAAUUUCUCAACCUAAACAAAAAAACCAUGGUUUCCAAAAGAAAAUCGAAUAGGAUGGCUCACCUUCGGGGGUGAUGGUGAGCUUGAUCUUCCUCUCUUUGCUAGGUUCUUCACACUGUUCCGCUUUUCCUCUUUUGCUCUAGGGUUUUUUGGUUUGGAAAAUUAAGGUUUUUCUUCGUGGCCGCCAAGAUUUAGGGUUUUUCUCCUCCUCUACUCGCCUCUUUUAUACUCACUACCUUAGGGCUUCAUAUUGGCCUAUGGAUAUCAAAAGGGGUUUCUGCGAAAUCCCUUUAGGGUUGUCAGAUUUUGGUCGCCCUAUUUGGUUGUUAAAUCGGAAACGUGAAGAUUGGUUAAAAACAUGAGUAGCUUCGGUUUUCAAAUGGCCUUGAUGGUGCGACUUUCACUAUGAAUUUGUUGCAGAUUGUAUGUUAGUUAGGAAGGAAUCCUGCUUUCAUCGCUGUUAUUGUUGCUGUAAGUGUAGCAUCAGCUGAGCUCCAACGCUUUGACCACCCUUCUGUUAAAGCAGAUGUCUCACUUAGCUUCCUCGUCAUUGGAGACUGGGGAAGGAAAGGAACUUACAACCAAUCUCAAGUUUCUUUUUAGGUCUCUUUCUCCUUUGUUUUAUGCAUUCCACUCUUGACAAGUUACUUACAACCAUUUUUAUUAUUUAGAUGGGAAGAGUUGUUGACGAGUUAAACAUUGACUUUGUGGUAUCAACUGGAGAUAACUUCUAUGAUGAUGGAUUGACCGGGAUAAAUGACCCUGCAUUUCAAUAUUCCUUCUCAGAUAUCUACACCACCAACAACCUUCAAAAGCAAUGGUAUAAUGGCAACCAUGACUACAGGGGGGAUGUUGAAGCUCAAUUAAAUCCAAUUCUUCAGAAUAUUGAUCACAGAUGGUUUUGCCAAAGAUCUUUUAUUGUUCACACUGAAAUCGCCGAGUUCUUCUUCGUUGAUACAACUCCCUUUGUGGACAAGUACUUUUUGAAGCCAAAGGAUCACAAGUAUGAUUGGAGAGGUGUACUUCCAAGGAAUAAGUAUUUAUCAAACCUCUUGAAGGUUUAAUUCCAAACAAAGGAUCUGGAAACAACAUUAAGGGAUUCUACUGCCAAGUGGAAGAUUGUUGUGGGACAUCAUCCUGUAGCAAGCAUAGGGCACCAUGGCGACACCAAAGAGCUCUUAACACACCUCCUACCAAUCCUUGAGGCCAACAAUGUUGAUAUGUACAUGAAUGGGCAUGACCAUUGCUUGGAACACAUAAGUAGCACCAGCAGGUCUAUGUAUUAACUUGGGUGUGUUUGUAGGUUUGUGGAAAUGAACAUGACAUGGACAAUGUUACUUGUAGAUGAAGAAAUCAUGAUGGAAGCGAGAUAACAUGCAUUUUGGAAGAUAAAUCAUGACCCAUGGGGGGAAUUAGGAUUAGGUUUGGGAAAUUGGUUGUUGGUUUAUGAAAGGUCUCCGAUGAAUCUUGAUGAAGACGAAGCCUAUCCCAAAUCAUGUGGUUCGAAGGAGGUCGCAGGAUGGAGCUAGAAGCGGGUUGAAGGGUUGUUUGAAGGCGAAGCUUCUGCCUUGGUGUGUCGCAACUUGCAGGGCCAUGGCUUUGAGUUUUUUUUUGCAGGGUCAUUUUAUUGACUUUACUUGUGUAUGCAAAGGCCUAUUAGAAUCACUAAUAUACAUGUUUGAUAGGUUCGACUUGGUCAGUAGGUUGCACUUGUAUUUGGUAGGCUAUUUUGAAAUACUCAUGGGAUUGGGUUGGAAACAUAUUGAAUUGUUUAGAUUGUGUAUUGAAAGUUAAUUGAAUGAAUGCGAUUAUGUAAUGAAUGUUUAUUGAAUUGGACUUGUAUGUAAGUCUAUUGAAUUGUAUUGAAUGGAAUUUGAAUGAAGUUGAAAUUGAAUAGUUAUGGAAAA